rnacentral:rRNA from 1 species
UACAGAGGGUGCAAGCGUUGCUCGGAUUUACUGGGCGUAAAGCGUACGCAGACGGUGAGAAAGGUCGGAUGUGAAAGCCCCGGGCUUAACCUGGGAACUGCAUCCGAUACUGGAUGGCUUGAAUCCGGGAGAGGGAUGCGGAAUUCCAGGUGUAGCGGUGAAAUGCGUAGAUAUCGUAAGGAAGACCAGUGGCGAAGGCGAGUCUCUGGACAGUUACCGACGCUGAGGCACGAAGGCCAGGGGAGCAAACGGG